GAUGAACGCUGGCGGCGUGCCUAAUACAUGCAAGUCGAGCGAAUGGAUUAAGAGCUUGCUCUUAUGAAGUUAGCGGCGGACGGGUGAGUAACACGUGGGUAACCUGCCCAUAAGACUGGGAUAACUCCGGGAAACCGGGGCUAAUACGGGAUAACAUUUUGAACCGCAUGGUUCGAUAUUGAAAGGCGGCUUCGGCUGUCACUGAUGGAUGGACCCGCGUCGCAUUAGCUAGUUGGUGAGGUAACGGCUCACCAAGGCAACGAUGCGUAGCCGACCUGAGAGGGUGAUCGGCCACACUGGGACUGAGACACGGCCCAGACUCCUACGGGAGGCAGCAGUAGGGAAUCUUCCGCAAUGGACGAAAGUCUGACGGAGCAACGCCGCGUGAGUGAUGAAGGCUUUCGGGUCGUAAAACUCUGUUGUUAGGGAAGAACAAGUGCUAGUUGAAUAAGCUGGCACCUUGACGGUACCUAACCAGAAAGCCACGGCUAACUACGUGCCAGCCGCCGCGGUAA
rnacentral:rRNA from 1 species